CCUGUAUAAACGGCUAACUACCCAAGAGAGUAGCUGUCGUCACUUUAUGGGCUUAAAUUUAGAACGAUAUAGUAAAGUCUGUUGCCAAAGGCUUAAGCUACUUUGUAGUAAGAGUGAUAACAGGAUAGCUAUAUUGGAAUGGUUCGCCGUAUGACCGAGAUUGAAAUAUCUAAACAUGAUGAGAUAAUAGAGCGGAAUCACUUCUACUCAUAUUAUUUUUUACGGUUCC
rnacentral:sRNA from 12 species